AGUUUGGGGAAGAGGGUGGUGUCAUCUGGGCGACGGCGAGUGAUCAGUGACCGUAGGGCACGGAUCAGACCCUCCUGUAGCUGCUCCACAGCCCGCAUGUCCGAGAUGCCAGAACGGUCUGAGGAGCACAGAGAAUGCAAGUAGACCAGCACCACAGCCAUAAAGAGGGCCAUUUCAUCAGGCUCUAGCCCCAGAGAGCCCAACUUCUCACUGAAGUCAAACAUUGCAUCCAGCAAAGAGCCCAUGCCCAGGACCCGUAGGGUGGACAGGGGGUUAGGCAAUUCAGGGUACUGGAGGACGGAGAUAAGCAGAAACCAUACUGGGAGGAAGAAGAAAGGCAAACUACACCAAUCAUGCGUUGUGGAUGAGCUGUACGGCCUCACGUGUCUGCUGCCUCCCCCGCUCCAAUAAUAGCCUCGCUCCCCUGGCACCGUGCCCAGCGCCAGCUAACAGCACGACACCUGACCGCCGCCUCACAUGCAUGGACUCCUGACACGGUUACUGCCCGGAACAAAUCCGCAAUCUCGUGUUGAAAUAGCCUACACAACAAUCUGAAGUCAGAUGUGUGUUUACAAACAUACGCUGACUGGGAAGCUCCCCGGGCGUGAGGUGGCACCAACUCUCAGCCACUGCUGUUCAUGCGCCACCAACGGUCGGAGAAUGUGAGUCACGUUUUUGCAAAGGAAAAAGCCUCAACUGUAUGGACUGCACUGCUGUAAUAAUAUACAGUACUAACAACUCCGUGUACAGUAGAGUCCAGCAGAGAGAGUACAGAAUGACAAAUUAUAUGCACUAUAAUCUAAACAAAUGUGUCCAAUUUAAAACUUCAUUCACGAUUGGCUUGCACAUGCAAGUUUCCAACAUUCAAAUAAUUUCCCGCAUCUAAACGUCAUGCCAUGACACAGUGGUUUAACCAACUCAGCCUUGUAUAUGGAAAUCAUGCAUUAGUGCCGUAGGCCUGUCCCUGCAUGUGUUGCAUUGUGACGCCCUUUGCUGCACAAGGUUUUUGUUUUAGCUCAAAUCAUCAACCAGCACGUGUCGGUGGUUUGUUGACUCAUGCCGGAGCCACAGACAGACCCAGCAGAUGCCUGCCUGAGCCUCACCUCUUCCUGAGCUUACAGUCGUGGACCAACCCCCACUCCACCCAAACACACUGCAUGUCCACCUGAAGACUCACAUGUACAGCGGCAUCAACACAGAAGCGUCCGUGAGAGCGGGGAAGCAGCGGGAGGAGGGCUAUCUCACGCGUCGCACGCGGCUCGGCGAGGGAUGCCACGUGAGGAGGCUUUUUGACGGGAGCUUUCACUGGGAAGACAUGAAGCUCCGCUCCAGCCAGAAGUCAGAGCUUCUACAGUCCGCCAGGGGCUUAUAAUUGAGGAGCCAAAUUAAAUAGAGCAGCAUGUUAUGCGGCGGGGUGGUCUGACUUUGCACCACCAGCAGCACCGCCUGCACAGUCCUACAGGCGCUGCAUUAGAAACAGGCGGAUCUGUGUUGUAUCAGUAUGUGGCCAUACCAAAGUUUAUAUUGUAAGGAUAUGCAGAAAAUCCAUCUUUAAUAUACAAUCCCUUUAUUUCUGGUGAAUUAUAGCCUAGUAUGUUUAAUAUCUAUAGGUCUACAAUUUAGUUGUUUUCUUAAAAUCCCCUUUGGUAUUAUUAGUACUGAGUGAUGUCAGUAAGCCCUGCAUUGCAUGUCCUGAAAAAGACACUAUUUUUGUGGCCUGGUUUUGGGGUAAAUGUUUUUAUAUUUUCACUGCCCACAUAUUUUGGGAUACUGUUUGACUUUUUGACGUGAAAUGACUUGUAAUUUGAAAUGGAUGUGGAUUUUAUCCCUUAUUUUUAGCCUUCAAACUAAUGUGGUUAGCUUAUUAGCUAGCACAUGUUUUAUUAUGGUUGACUUUAUGGAGUUAGUUUUAAUGUUGGCAAAUAUUGGCCCCCACUAAUGAAUUUUGUCUGAAUGUUUUUGUCUGCCAGGUAAAACUUGGAACCAAAGUUAUGAUGGUUUCCAAUUCAUGGUGAGAAAUAGGCCUGAGUUAGGGGUCUGACUGUUUUAAAUGUGCUCAAUAAUAAUGCAGAAAAACUCUGUCAGAAGAACUAUUAGUGAGUGAGAGCAUACAGUGCAUGAAGUUAUGCAGCAGACAGUGGGGAAAGUCUGUUUUUAUCAUAUGAGCAUCAUUUGACAGUUAGAUGUAAUCUAGUGCAACUGAGGAAAUUAAUAUUGGUGUCAAGAUAGACUAAAUACUUGUUACAACUGACUCCCACACCAUAGUAGUCUACAGUUGAGAGGUCAUGGAUGUACAAGUUUGAUGAAAAUGUUGAUUUACGUAUUCCAAAAUGCAUGUUAAACUAUAUGCAUAAUGAAGACAUACAGUUAUACAUGUUCAAAUAUUUUCUUUAAAAAAAUUGGCACUAUUUUGUAUUUUAUAUGUCAUAUAAGACAUGCUAUUAUGUGAAUAAUCUUUUGGCUGAAUUCAGCAUUUACAUGGAACCCCACAACCCAAUCAUCUCUGCAGGUGAAAUGGGGGCUCUGUGUCAAUACACACACACUCUCUCACUCA